CAUUACUGAGUACUACACUCUCUACCCUUUGUGAACUAUUAUACCUGUUGCUUCGGCGGCGCCCGCAAGGGUGCCCGCCGGUCUCAUCAGAAUCUCUGUUUUCGAACCCGACGAUACUUCUGAGUGUUCUUAGCGAACUGUCAAAACUUUUAACAACGGAUCUCUUGGCUCCAGCAUCGAUGAAGAACGCAGCGAAACGCGAUAUGUAAUGUGAAUUGCAGAAUUCAGUGAAUCAUCGAAUCUUUGAACGCACAUGGCGCCUUCCAGUAUCCUGGGAGGCAUGCCUGUCCGAGCGUCGUUUCAACCCUCGAGCCCCUGUGGCCCGGCGUUGGGGAUCUGCCACGGCAGGCCCCUAAAACCAGUGGCGGACCCGAAGGGCCCUCUCCUUUGCGCAGUAGCAUUCGCCUCGCAUCGGGAGUCCUCGGCGUCCUGCCUCUAAACCCCCCACAAGCCCGCUUCGGCGGCACCAAGGUUGACCUCGGAUCAGGUAGGAAUACCCGCUGAACUUAAGCAUAUCAAUAAGCGGAGGAAAAGAAACCAACAGGGAUUGCCUCAGUAACGGCGAGUGAAGCGGCAACAGCUCAAAUUUGAAAUCUGGCUCCUUCGGGGUCCGAGUUGUAAUUUGCAGA
rnacentral:rRNA from 1 species